CAGAGGACCUCAAAAAUCAUAAAGAAAUCAAACAAAAUCCAUCCAGGGAAACUCACGUUGAUGACUUUCGCUGACCCUUUCAGAGGGGUGGGGCUGCCAGUGACUGUCAGUAUAACGUGAAAAGAGCGGCAUCACAGUUAGUUUCAAUCACGGUUCGUUCCGUUCGCGAUCGGCAGUUUAAAUAGCGUGUAAAGCCUUUCUGUAACAGUGGUGUCCGUUUCUUGCUGGUUGUCCUUCUGUUAAGAAACAAUAUCUUGUAUCCUCAUUUCUGUAAUGAUGUGUUCUUUAUUUUGAACGGAUCUGGCAACCCAAGACACUACGCCAUAUCCGGUCUGUACUCGGCGCGAAAUAUUUUUUUUUCUUCCUUGGCGAUGAGAAGCGGCUGCUCUCUGUGCAGACGGCAAAUAAAACGUGCAACGUGUUUGAGUUAAACA